UCUGUGAGGAAGGGGUACCCCGGGAACUGGGGAUAAUACCUCAUAGGUUACGGAGGCUGGAAUGCCCUGUAACCCAAAGCUCCGGCGCCUCAGGAUGAGUCUGCGGCCGAUUAGGUUGUUGUUGGGGUAACGGCCCAACAAGCCGAUAAUCGGUACGGGUUGUGGGAGCAAGAGCCCGGAGAUGGAUUCUGAGACAUGAAUCCAGGCCCUACGGGGCGCAGCAGGCGCGAAAACUUUACAAUGCGAGCAAUCGUGAUAAGGGAACCCCGAGUGCCUGUACACGCAGGCUGUUCAGAUGUCUAAAACACAUCUGGAGAAAGGGCCGGGCAAGACCGGUGCCAGCCGCCGCGGUAAUACCGGCGGCUCGAGUGGUGGCCACUAUUACUGGGCUUAAAGCGUCCGUAGCUGGGUUGUUAAGUCUCCUGAGAAAUCUGCCGGCUUAACCGUCAGGCGUUCAGGAGAUACUGGCAAUCUCGGGACUGGGGGAGGUGAGAGGUACUCCGGGGGUAGGAGUGAAAUCCUGUAAUCCUCGGGGGACCACCUGUGGCGAAGGCGUCUCACCAGAACAGCUCCGACAGUGAGGGACGAAAGCUGGGGGAGCAAACCGGAUUAGAUACCCGGGUAGUCCCAGCUGUAAACGAUGCGCGUUAGGUGUGUCGGUAACCACGAGUUACCGAGGUGCCGUAGGGAAACUGCUAAACGCGCCGCCUGGGAAGUACGGUCGCAAGGCUGAAACUUAAAGGAAUUGGCGGGGGAGCAC
rnacentral:rRNA from 1 species